rnacentral:tRNA from 1 species
GCAGCGGUUAAUGGACUAGAAAUCCAUUGGGGUCUCCCCGCACAGGUUCGAAUCCUGUCGACUGCA